rfam:Oryza glumipatula chromosome 6, whole genome shotgun sequence.
AAAGACUCAAUUUCUGGAUUUUCAUGUUCAAUGUUUGACUGUCCGUCUUAUAUGAAUUUUUUUUAUGAUUAGUAUUUUUAUUGUUGUUAGAUGAUAAAACAUGAAUAAUACUUUGUGCGUGACUUAUUUUUUAAAAUUUUUUUAUAAUUUUGUCAAAUAAGACGGACGGUCAAAUAUUGGACACGGAAACCCAGAAAUUGAGUUAUU